rnacentral:rRNA from 1 species
AUUGAACGCUGGCGGCAUGCUUUACACAUGCAAGUCGAACGGUAACAGCACUUCGGUGGCUGACGAGUGGCGAACGGGUGAGUAAUACAUCGGAACGUGCCUAGUAGUGGGGGAUAACUACUCGAAAGAGCAGCUAAUACCGCAUGAGAUCUAAGGAUGAAAGCAGGGGACCUUCGGGCCUUGCGCUACUAGAGCGGCUGAUGGCAGAUUAGGUAGUUGGUGGGAUAAAAGCUUACCAAGCCGACGAUCUGUAGCUGGUCUGAGAGGACGACCAGCCACACUGGGACUGAGACACGGCCCAGACUCCUACGGGAGGCAGCAGUGGGGAAUUUUGGACAAUGGGCGCAAGCCUGAUCCAGCAAUGCCGCGUGCAGGAUGAAGGCCUUCGGGUUGUAAACUGCUUUUGUACGGAACGAAAAGCCCUCUUCUAAUACAGGAGGGUCAUGACGGUACCGUAAGAAUAAGCACCGGCUAACUACGUG